GGGCCCCGCGCGGCCCCGGGCGGGGCGGGGCCGGGGCUUGAAAAGCGGUUGUGGGGCGAGCGCUCGUUGGCGGCGGCGCCGGCUCUGAGUGUCCCGGGCACGGCUGCGGGGCGAGAGCUGCACUGGGGCACAGGUUUGUGGUCAGAGGGCCAGAGCCAAGGGAGAAGCUGCUCUGUCUCCUUGUGCUCCUGGGGCAAUGUGUGGUGUUCCAGCCUGUACUCCAGGGAUCUGAGGCAGUGAAGCUCCCGCUUAAUCCUCGUGUGCUGCCAGGGAGACAACGGCCGUGCUGGACUGUCCCUGAGGCUCUGCAGCCACAGGAUGCUAGGAGUGCUCAACUGUUGCAGGUGUCGUUUCUGCCAUCAACGCAUCCACACUGUGGGUCGUGGCCUGCUAUUCUACAGGCUGCCGGCUGGUUCCCUGCACCACAGCCACAGAUUAUACCAUAUGUUCCCUAGCAAUGCACCUGACUACAUGCUGCACAACUGCGUCGGUUGCUGUGAGGUGCUGCGGGGCAGGUGCCAGGCUCUGUGCGUGUGCUGCUGAGCCUGCUCGCCAAAGCCAGGAGAAGCUGGUGCCUUUGACUUCACCUCAACCACAUCCGUGAACCAGAACUUUUUUACAGUGUUUCUGGGUGUAACCUGCAGAUCUGUGCUGUUUUCUGUAGGGCUGUGCUGCUGUGUCCCGCUUGCCAAAGGCAGGGGAACCUGCUGCCUUUGACUUCUUCCCGACCACAUCUCUGAACUGGAACUUUUUUAUGAUGCACCUGAAUGUGAUCUGAAGAAUUGUGUAAUUUUUCUGUGGGACUCUACAGUGCAGGUGCCUGGCUCUCCACAUGUGCUACUGCAGCCUGCUCACCAAAGCCAGGACGAGUUGGUUCCUGUGCCACAGGAGCAAGUGGUGUGUGGUGCUCCUCCUAUUCAGGAGCUUCAGCCACGCAGCUCUUUCCCACAGGUCUCAAGGCUUCAUCUUGUUGGGCUGGAUGGCCAGACACUGUGCAAAUGCUUUCUGGUGCAGCCCCAGUGACUUGCUGUUGAGGCAGCCCUUGACGUGAGCUGCCAGCAUUGCUGGGUUAUGCUCUGCUGCUCUCCCCGAGUUCCUCCUCCUGGAAGCACCAGUGCCCCCAUGAGCGUGAAGAUCAGGCGAGGGCUGAGUGGCCGGAGUCUUUCUGCCAUUGGCUGCCCAGACCUUCUCUGUUCCUGCUCUUGCCACCAGAGCCCAGCUAUGAGCCCAGUGCUGCCAUGGUGCUGGCUACUAGCAGGGUCCCUGUCUCCUUGUGCAGUCCUUGCUCAGGACUCCGCUCGCACUGUGUGUGCCCCUUCACCACUGCAUCUUAGGCCAUGGGGCUGUGCGGGGCAGGCCUACUGCUCUCCAGCCACGCGGCUCUGGUGCCUUCGCUGCGGGUGUGGCACAGCUGAGCAGCAGUUGGGACAAGCUGUUGGUGGCUGCUGCCUGCGCUGCUGAUGGCUGUUUCGCUGGUGCUGGCACAAAGUGCAGAGGGUGCUGGUGUCACGGGCGGCAGCAGCAGCAGCCGCUGUAGCUCUUGCUGCCCGAGCUGCAGGUGCUGGCCGGGUGCUGCUGCCGGAAAUGGUGUCUCCUGGUGUGACACCACUAUGUGGGGCAGUGCCACGUGGUACUCAAGCUGCCUGUCUGAGGCCCAGUCAAUGCCUGAAAACUUGGCCCCAGCGCCGAGGCAGCUCUGUGCAGUCCUGAACAUGUAUCCGAGUGAAACACUCUUCCUGUGAAAUUAGCCUGUACCCAGCUAGCGCAGGUUAACAUUCAGGCUUUGAAGUCGUUUUGCUGUUUUCCUGUCUGAUGCACCAGCCUGUAGAUACCGUGGAACCGUUGAACCAGCAGGCCUUUUCCAGACUGUUUGAAUUGCAGGGAUAUCUGUGGGGAAAAAGUACCUUUUUUAGGAUGCGCUUGGUUUGUUAGGAAGUUGUGUAACCGGAGGGAAGAAUGACAAGUGCCCCGUUCUGCAGCCACGUGUGAGGCGCCGGAGGUGGCAUGCAGGAAAGGCUGAAGAUUAUAUCCCGGCCUUAUUCAUUCGUGAUCCUGAGCUCUGUUGCUGAAGCUGAGAAGUGCUACAGGUAGAGACUUUAGAGAGCAGCAAUGGCUACUGUCCAUCAUACCACAGCACCCUGCUUUGGAAAGAGGACACUAAGCAGAUACAAGAUGUCCCAGAGGAGAAAGAAAGAGUGCUACAUAUAUUUGGAUCCUUCAUCCUAGACCUAAUGUUAUGAACACAGUCCUAAGAAACGACUGGUCGGUAUAACAGCUUCCUCGGGCCUGAUCUAUCAAAAGAGAACAGAUUUCUCCUUCACAGGUCAGGUAUACUUUUGCUUUACAGAGCACAUGUGCCAUCUGGUUCUAGAAGACUAACCCAGUGGUUUCAGUUUCAGCCAUGUUUCAUGUGCAAGGCAGGGUCUUUCAGUAUGCAGUUAAAUGAAGAGACUACCACUCUCUGAAUUCUUUACGUGAUGUCCAGCAUGUGUAAGUAGGGCAGACAAAUUUUUUUGGAGGAAUGAUGUGCUGGUGUGAGAAUGGGCAGAGGAAAACAGUUUAACUCUGAGGUGGAGUUGUGGUUACCACGUUAUCAUGUGUAUUGUCAUGGCUAUGCAAAAGUAAUCUUUAUUCAAAUGUGAAUUUUUAGCCAUGGCAUUUUCUGCAAGAGCGAAGCUUGCCAAAUGUGAACAAGCACUGUUUACUGUGAUGUACUUAUUUUGUCAAAACCCUAAGCCUUUAUCUGAUCUUUGAGUAUUGGAAACUGUUCUUCAUAAUUAUGGGUAGGCUAUAAUUGAAAAAUAGGCAUCUCACAGCUACAGCCCUCGGUCCCCCUUCAGCCUCAUUCUUUGUCAACUUCAUGUGUUGUUAUUCCUGAAUGGUGGAUGAUUAUGGUUACAGCAAGAACAACUCAUUAAAUUCACCAUUGCUAUUUUUGUUAUUUAAUGCUCUAUAAAUAAACUAAAAGCAGUAUCUAAUUUGAUAGUUUCACAUGAGUCAGCUACACAGGGUACAACAACAGAAGGAAACAGAGCCUUGUCCACGUUACAUGAAAUGCUUGAAAUUCUGUACCUGAGACUGAAUGACCAGAAUUUCUGCAUUCAUAAACUUCUCACACAGCGCCGUGAGUAGAGAGGAAUCAAGUCCCUCCCAAAUAGGCUGCUUGCCUGCUUGUAGAUGGUACAGCUGCUGUCUUCACUAGUUGUUUGCAGACGCUUGUUUGCAGACAUUUUUCCAAGCAGUUUGAGCCUAUUUUGGCAUUCACGUGCGUAAAGAGAGAUGGAGAACUUCACACAACUAACAGCUUGUACAGUAUGACGUUUUAUUUAAAGGUGAUUGAGUUUCUUCACAUUUGCUAACAACAGCCAUAAAAUUUCAGUUUUGAAAAAGUGGAAAUUUUAGAAUGGUCAGCACUUCCCCUGACUACUCUUGUUCGCACAUUUCAAGCCUUCACCAGCGCGUUCCCCCCAGGAGAUCAGAAAGGUUCUAGCCCAUUAGCACCUGCAUUUUUGAUCUCACUAUUGUAUCUGAAUAUUUGUAGAAAGCAUGGGAACAAUUUUAUUAUUGAUUGAUUACAGAGGAAUUCAGAACUGAUCUCAUCUAACACGGGAGUCAUUAAAGAUCACUGGAAAACGCAUCACCAGAAAAAAGUUCAUAACCACAGAAAAAACAUUUCAGCUGAGCUGGAUUCAGGCCAGAGGCAAAAAAAGCUUAGUGCUCUGUCAGAAGUGUUAAGUAUCAUUGAUUGUAACCUGUUCAAGAGUAAGAAAGAUUUAGAUAAUGGGAGGAGUGUUUGAUUUAUUUUCAGGGAAUGAAUGGGCCUAGAAAGCUAAAAGAGUUAUCCUGAUGCCAUGCAACAUGAAGGAGUUAAGAUUCUUCUUUUCUACUUUCUUAGUCCCAUGGACAAACAUGCAACCUUCAUUACCAGCCAUUGAAAGUGCAGAGAAAGGAGUGUCUUCAGUAUCAACUUCUCUUCCCUGAACUGACGGUCCCUUUGUUUGUAGUAAAGGUGUCAUGAACUGUCCUGAAGAAAGAAUUAAUUCUAAUGGUCUGUAAUGUCAGUUAUUAAAACUAGCUUUCUUCUUAUGACUUUCUAGUCCAAAGUUGGACUGGCACAGGUCUAGUAAAGGCAGCAGCACCUCCUGGGUCCCACUGGCCUAGGCUCGUCUGAGCAUCCUUAGAUCAAAACCCAGCAUUUCCACAGUUGGUCCUGGCCUUGGAGUAGUGGCAGGUCCCACAGUAAAUCGUUCCCCUUACCAUCUGCUUGUACUUCUGCUACGGGUAGCAGCAGGCCUUGUUGUUGGAUGAAAUUGGUUUUCUGUAUUAAUGUUUUGCAGAAGAGGAUGUAAUAAAUAUAAUAUAAAAUGAAUCUCAACAAUGUAAUAGGUCUGUACCUGUCCCAAAGAGGCUGCAUAAUAUUUGCCCAAGAAUAUAUGUAUGUAAGAACAUAUAUUUUGCCCAAGAAUAUAUAUGGGUAAACUGUGAUAGGGAAGUGGUGUCAUGGGUUUGGUUGGUGGACUGGUGAUGAAUAUCAGUCUUUCAUUUGCUGUUGAAAUACAGUAGACACUUCUGGUUUCCAUAUUCUGAGAGAAAAAAAAAAAAAAAGAAAAAGAGCAGCAAAGAGCUUCAAAAUUAUUUGGAGGGCAGCAGGAAGUGUUUUACAGUGAGAGACUUUAAAAGCACAAGCUAUUUAGCUUCCUGAACAAGAAUGCAUUAGAAUGAUUUGAUUACGGCAACUAAGACAUUUAAUGGAGGGAAAAUACUGAGUGAAUAAAUGGAUCUUUGGUCCGAAGACAAAAGACCUGAAUUGCCUAUAGCUGGAAGCUGAGACCAUGGAACCAUUCAGAUAGGCAAUGAAGCAUACAUUUUUUUAAACAGAGGGAGUGAUUAACAGUUGGAACAAGCCAGCAAGAAAACUAAUGGAUUCUCCAUCUCUUGAAAUCCUCAAGUGAAAAAAUUAAUGCCUUUGAAUGGUAUGCUUAGUCACACACUAUUUAAUUGUCUCAAAGUAAAAGCAGCAAGUGACAUUGUGUCCUGUUUUAUAUAGGAGGUCAAACUAGAUAGCUGUAAUAGUUGUCUUUGGUUUGCCAGUCUAUGAAAUACUGCAACUGCCAAAGGCCUACAUUAAAAGAAAAAUAAUGCUUUGAAGUUAAGCACCUCAAGGGUAAAGAAAGCAGAAUUGAAGUUAUUUUAGUAAUCUUAACCAUGAUGCUCUGUGCAUUUGCAUUAUAAUGCACUCUUAACUGCUCAGUCACUCAGAUUUUCCUCUCAGCAUGGACCAUUACCAAAGUUACAUUCCUAAAUUUUUAGAAAUCAGAUUCUUCUAUUGCUUGAUCUAAAGAAACGGUUCCUAACUCUUUUCUUUUACAUGGGUCAACCCUUCGUGAGGGAUGCAAUGAACAAAUAAUUGUGUAAAGGACUGGCAGAAUGAAAGGCACUUUGUAUCAAUGUCAAGUUAAUGAAAAUAUGGUAACUCAGGAUCUUUAGGAACAGAGGAUUCCGCAUUAGGCUAUUAAACUUGUCCUACCUAUACUAAAAGGCAGCACAGGUAUGGAGGGGCCAUGAUCCUGUCAUAUUAAGAACCAAUAUUCUGUUCAUAAAUGCAGAUACAGGAUGUUGGUCAUAAUCCAGUUGCAGUAUACAAUGUAUUUUUGCAGGAAGGAUUUUCUUUCUUAUAUUUACGUGUGUUACCUGAGAUGCAGACAAAUAUGAGACUACCAUAUGCCUGGUAGGAAAAGGAGUAAGACUGAGAAAAUUUGCUGCUCAGUAAUUUGCUUGGACUCCUUUUUCUUACAGUCAGUGGGAAUAUUGCCACUCAUAAUGGAAGUACAUGUGAACCCAUAAUUUAUAAUCCAGUGUAUAGAUACACCUGACAUAUCAACUAACAUGAAAUUUUGAACACAUCAUUUCAUAUUUAGCAAAGCAAACUCAAAUUUUGAUUGAGAAAAAUAUAUGGAGCUAUGCAAUUACCUUUUAAACCCAUUACGAAGAUCUUUUUCCACAGCUGUCUAUGUAACAGUAUUUAGAAAAUAAAUUUGCUAAUUUAAAGUAAAAUAAUAGCAUAAGUACAUUUUUAGGGGAGAGGAGGAAAAAGGGUUUUAGUUUACAAAGUUGCCUGCCUUUGUGUCUUAGCAGUCCUCAACAUUACAUUAAAGAGGUGUAUGUUAGAGUAUGAAAGAAAAACCUAAACCUACAUUUUGUUUAUUUCUAGUUUGCCACUCUAAUUUUUAGGUCCUUCCCAACUGUCAUAGUGUUCAGAGAUCUCAUCCAACAUCCACUAAAGUACCAAGAAUGGCUCCCAUUGAUUUCCAUGGAGACAGUGUCAGGCUGUGUUAAGAAUAGGAUUGAGCAUAUUUUAGCUCUCUUCAGAUGUAGUGGAGUUUUAUUCUGAUAAAUCUGUAUAAAUAUUCUGAUAAAUACUGUAAAUUAUCAGUCUCUUUUCUUAUGAAAAAACCCUACCUCUCCAUUUAGUUUGAUGAGAGUUUGGAAAAAGAAAAGUCCUUUAUUAGAAUCAAUAUAGGUAUUAUUACUGCCUUUGUCUGCUUUCUCAGGACUGGAUUUUGCAAAACCUGUAUUUAAUUAAGUGAUUAUUUCUAUUAAAUGUAUUCAAGUUA